rnacentral:tRNA from 1 species
UGUUUUAAUAGCUUAUAAAGAGCAUAAUAUUGAAGAUAUUAAGGAAGUAUUGUACUUUAGGAUAU